GUAGGGAAUAUUGGGCAAUGGUCGGAAGACUGACCCAGCCAUGCCGCGUGCAGGAAGACGGCCCUCUGGGUUGUAAACUGCUUUUAUCUGGGAAGAAAAAGGCCAUGCGUGGCAAAUUGCCGGUACCAGAUGAAUAAGCACCGGCUAACUCCGUGCCAGCAGCCGCGGUAAUACGGAGGGUGCGAGCGUUGUCCGGAUUUAUUGGGUUUAAAGGGUGCGUAGGCGGCUGAUUAAGUCAGCGGUGAAAGACUUUGGCUUAACCGGAGCAGUGCCGUUGAUACUGGUUGGCUUGAGUGUCGGAGGGGUACAUGGAAUUGAUGGUGUAGCGGUGAAAUGCAUAGAUACCAUCAGGAACACCGAUAGCGAAGGCAUUGUACUGGCCGACAACUGACGCUGAUGCACGAAAGUGUGGGGAUCGAACAGGAUUAGAUACCCGAGUAGUCC
rnacentral:rRNA from 1 species